rnacentral:rRNA from 1 species
AACGUAGGAGUCAAGCGUUAUCCGAAUUUACUGGGCGUAAAGCGCGUGUAGGCGGUGCGGUUAGUUGGAUGUGAAAGCUCCCGGCUCAACUGGGAGAGGUCGUUCAAUACUGCCGCACUAGAGGACGGUAGAGGGAGGUGGAAUUCCCGGUGUAGUGGUGAAAUGCGUAGAUAUCGGGAGGAACACCAGUGGCGAAGGCGGCCUCCUGGGCCGUUCCUGACGCUCAGACGCGAAAGCUAGGGGAGCAAACGGGAUUAGAUACCCGCGUA